CCCUUAGAUGUUCUGGGCUGCACGCGCGCUACACUGAAGCGUUCAACGAGUAUUCACCUUGCCCGGGAGGGUUGGGUAAUCUUUUGAAAACGCUUCGUGAUGGGGAUAGAUUAUUGCAAUUAUUAAUCUUCAACGAGGAAUUCCUAGUAAGCGCGAGUCAUCAGCUCGUGCUGAUUACGUCCCUGCCCUUUGUACACACCGCCCGGCGCUCCUACCGAUUGAGUGAUCCGGUGAAUAAUUCGGACUGCAGCACUGCUUGGUCUCCAGGCUUUGCAGCGGAAAGUUUAGUGAACCUUAUCACUUAGAGGAAGGAGAAGUCGUANCA
rnacentral:rRNA from 1 species